UGGGGAAUUUUGGACAAUGGGCGAAAGCCUGAUCCAGCAAUGCCGCGUGUGUGAAGAAGGCCUUCGGGUUGUAAAGCACUUUUGUCCGGAAAGAAAUCCUUGGCUCUAAUACAGUCGGGGGAUGACGGUACCGGAAGAAUAAGCACCGGCUAACUACGUGCCAGCAGCCGCGGUAAUACGUAGGGUGCAAGCGUUAAUCGGAAUUACUGGGCGUAAAGCGUGCGCAGGCGGUUUGCUAAGACCGAUGUGAAAUCCCCGGGCUCAACCUGGGAACUGCAUUGGUGACUGGCAGGCUAGAGUAUGGCAGAGGGGGGUAGAUGUCCACGUGUAGCAGUGAAAUGCGUAGAGAUGUGGAGGAAUACCGAUGGCGAAGGCAGCCCCCUGGGCCAAUACUGACGCUCAUGCACGAAAGCGUGGGGAGCAAACAGGAUUAGAUACCCUGGUAGUCCACGCCCUAAACGAUGUCAACUAGUUGUUGGGGAUUCAUUUCCUUAGUAACGUAGCUAACGCGUGAAGUUGACCGCCUGGGGAGUACGGUCGCAAGAUUAAAACUCAAAUGAAUUGACGGGGUCAUAGCUGUUUCCU
rnacentral:rRNA from 1 species